rnacentral:rRNA from 1 species
UUAAUACAACAAAAUUACUUGCCAGAGGACUACUAGCAGCAGCUUAAAACUCAAAGGACUUGGCGGUGCUUUAUAUCCCUCUAGAGGAGCCUGUUCUAUAAUCGAUAAACCCCGAUAGACCUCACCGCUCCUAGCUAAAUCAGUCUAUAUACCGCCAUCUUCAGCAAACA